UCACUGCAAGGCACACAACUCUGAAUUUACCCAGGACAUUCGAAAUUCAAUUGCUUUAUAUGUCCAGUGCCCACUUCAGUUAAGAAAUCUAACAGAUGAAAACAAAAUAAUCCCUGCACAUUUGCAAAAUAAUGUAAUGAUUUCAAUUGAAAUCGUUGGAUACCCCGCUCCAACUUUGUUUACAUUGUUUAAAUCAAUAGAUGGCUCCACGGUUCUAGUGUUCAGUACUGCUUCGUUAAAUAUUCUCGAUAAAAAAUACCAAGUUGAAUUAGAAAAUUACAAACUACCCAUUGGAAGCGUGAACAUUACAGUCCUUAACUUAACAACAACUGAUUUUACUAAUUACUCAAUUAUAAUCUAUAACGGAUUGGGAAAUGAAUUGACGUAUAACUUUAAAAUAAAUGAAGACAUAACUUCCUCUAAAACGAGCACAUCGGUAGUACUUCCAGCUGCAAUUGGUGCUGCUAUUGCAGCUGUCGUCAUCAUUGCCAUAAUCGUCU